UUCCGGAGUGUGGCUCUACCAUGGCUGGUACAUCUCGUUUCCUGCUGACGGACAUGCAGAUGCCAGGAGCAACCCCCACGCCAGACGUGGUAACCAGAAAGGUCUCCAGUCAUUGCCAAAUAUUCCCCGGAAGACGCCAUAAGCUGCCUCGUCGAGAACCACUGGGUCAUGACUCCAAUAGUCAGCUGUGCUUCCAGAUCUUGGCUGGGCAACAGCCACCUGUGAAUAAGGUGCCUGCCCCUGCCUGGAAGAUUUACUCUCUAGCCCGCAGUUUAAAUCCUGGAACAACGCGACAAGUCACUACCCCAUUGAGUUAAACCCCAUUGGACAGGAGCUCGUGGAAGUGUCUCUUCUAAGGGCUGACCUCGUGCCGCCGACGCACUGCUCGAGACUGCUCCCAGCACCCCGGUGUCCCUGCCGCAGGCCGCUCCCCCCACCAGCCCGCCCCACUUAGCAGGUUCAUUAUGCCUCGGGUCCAACGUCAUAGCAGAAGUUUGGAAUUUUCCAGGAGAGGUGGCCUCGCCUGGGGUGGGGGGAUGCGCCCAUGUGGGGCUCGUGGUCCUGCCACGGGGGGCCCGUGGCUUCUCUCUGUGGGCCUCAGGGAUGGAGUUUGGCUCAGGAGUGUGGCUGCCUUGCUCUUAGGUCACCAAAUCGUGUGGGGAUCGGGGCGCUAGGGGAACCCACCUCCCUGGCCACAGGGAGGAGUAAAUGAGUCACGAUGUGGAUGGGACAGUACCUGCCACACCAUAAGGACCCACCAGGACCUGCUUUUCUGGUUGGUAUAAUGGCCACCCCACAAACAGUAACCCAGUGGGUCUCACUGCCCUUGUUUGGGAGGCAAGACGGGGAGGUGGGGAUCAUCUCUCAGGUCUGGAUUCUCAAAGCCUUGUCCUGGGCCGGCAGCAGAAAACACAGGUGCGCUCCACACCCCCAGGGGCUUCGUGGCACCCUGAAGUUUGAGAAGCACGGCUGUGAGGCACCUUCCAGCCCUGGAGGGCUGGCAUUCCCCGCCCAGUCCUGGGUGAGUUCUGUCUCCCAGAUUCACAUCCAUCAGAACAGCAACCUCAGGUAAGCCCUGCGUGUGAACCUUUUCUCCUGCUUUUCUGGAAUGCUUUCUGCAGCUGCCGGGGCGCUCCGGUGUGACGGGGGGCGACAUGUGCGGUGGGCCCGGCUGUGCUCCACUCGCUCCCCCAAGCUCCCACAUCUGGCUCGCCACCUGCCUGCGGGUCCUGCUGGCUCCCCUGUGCCGGGCCUGGCCACAGCAAUCCCCAUCAACCUGGUGACCCUAGGACCAGGAACGGACUUUGUCUGUGAGUCCACCCCUUCCCACCAUCCCUCCAGGCCCUCAGCCCUGCAGAUCCCGCAGCCAGAGUGUCUCCCGCUCGGCAGGCCUCCUCACUCUGGCUCCCUGUCCUCCAGCUCUCUCGGGCACCAGCCCCACGUCUCCCUGGCCCCCUGCCUAUCUCCCCUCCCCAGCUCCUGAUCUCCCCUGACAGGCUUCUUCCCCAUUGCCCCCUGCAAGCUGGCCGCUGAGCUGUUCACUGUGCACGCCACCGUCCUGUGCCAGCUUGCCACUCUUGUUUCAAGGUCUGCUCCCCUUUGCUCAGUAGGCCUCCCACGGCCUGUGAGCCACCUCCAAUUCGCCCUUGUGUCCCUCCACCGUAGCCUGCUUCCGCCCUCCCCCGCCCCCGGUCCAGAUCAGGGGCCGGCGCGCCAUAGCCACGUGCAGCCCACAGCCUGUUGCCGGAGAUAAACUUGGACUGGCACCCAGCAGGCCUGUUUGUUUACAGAUCGUCUGUGGAGGCUUUCACAUUGUGGGGGCAGAACUGAGAGACCACACGGUCUCCAAAGCCUAAAAUAUUUACUCUCUGGCCCUUUGCACGCUUCAGCCUCUGACAUCCCCUGAGCCCUCCCUCUCCCAUUUCUGCCCGUAGUGACCCUGUCCACCUCAGAAGAUCCACUCCAAAGCAGCUGCACUGGGCAUUCCUCACACAGCAUGGAUGGAGACCGUGCCGUGUGCUGGGAUGGUGUCCUUGCUCUCGGGGCACUCACGAGUUACUAACCCAGGCUGCUUGGAUCAGAAGCACCUCGAGAACUUGAAGGUGACAGCUCACGGCCCCUUGUUUUACUAUUGUAGUGUUUGGAUGGCCUGAGGCCAGGUGCCUGCCCCCUGAUUCUCUAGCACUUAACCCAGCAGUGUCUGUCAGACACUGAGGGUCACGGUCCCAUCGUGAGGGUCACACACUGUGGGUCCUUAUAGUCCGUUUGAGUUAACAAAGGAAUCUUUCUCCUCCCCUGGGUCUGAGUGCUUACCCUGGGGUCUGGACUCCACUUCCCCCCAUGCUUCCAGAUGCUUCUGGGAUCCUACCUCAGGCCAGAUGCUACUUGUCAGUGUGUCUCAAACUUCCGUACGUACUAGAAUCACCCAAGAUGUUGUCAGAAUGCAGACGAGAUUCUCUAGGUCUGGGAUGGAGCCCAAGACUCUGCAUUUCUAAACGCGCUCCGGAUGGUGCCGAGCCGCUGGCCCACACUUGGGGCAGCAGGGAUUGGUUCUCACUUCUGAUGUCACCCGAGAGUCCCUUGGGGGCUUUGGCAUGCUCAUGUCUGGGUCUUACCCCAGACCAACUGAAUCAUGCAGGGCAGCGAGGUGGGGCCCUGUGUCGCCGGGUGAUCUCAAGGUGCAGCCACAGCCACCAGUCUAGGAACGUGUGGAAAUGCAGGUGGUCAGGUUCUAGUCCUAGCCACUGAAUCAGAAACGCUAGGAGCGAGGCGCGAGAGCGACGAGAACCACGAGAACCACGAGAGCGACUAGAGCCACGGUCUUAGGAAUGCCUGACCUUGGCUCCACCCAUCAGCUCCUACCUGCUCUUCCUGCCUCUGGCCACCCCCCUCCAAUUCCUGCUUUCUUUGGCCUGGAUGGUAUGGUUCCAGAACACCAAUUUGUCUGGAUGCCUCUUCUGCUGAAAACAUUCCUAGGCUCCCUGUUGCCCUCAAAGCUGUGGAAGAACUUAGAGUCUCUUUGAGGUCUGAACCUUCCCAGCUCCCCUCCUGCAACAUCCGGGGCCCCGUCCCCUCCAGCCCAGGGACAUGGAACCAUGGGUAGUCCCCAGAGGCAGAAUGCUUUUCCUCUUCCACAUUGGUGUUGAAAAUACCUGGUCUCCGGGGCGCC